rnacentral:lncRNA from 1 species
GAUCCCCGGAAGUUCGUGGCGAGCUCAUGGAGCUGGCUUGCGUGUGCAAAGAUGAUCUAGCAGUUGCCCAUCGUCGGUGCGCGGAGGCCUGGUUUCAAAUCCGAGGGAACAGGUUCGUAAACCAAACACGUCUUGAUUGAGCAGGAAAAGCAAAACGAACCUGGAUGAUGCAGGAGGUGUGAGAUAUGCGGGAAGAUCGUCACCAACAUCACGCUCAAACGGGGAAUGUGGAGCCGAGUGACCCGUAUAAUUAACCCCGAGGUAGAGCCCAGCCGGCAUCCACAUUGCAACGUUUUGGUAACGCUCUUCACAAUGGCGAUCCUGCUACCGCUCUUUGUCCGGCUAGCUAUCUAUAGAUGAAGGGGAUUUCUGAAGAAGCAAAUAGUCAGUUUCACGAAAACAAAAAUGACGAAAGAGAAAGAAGCUCUUCACCUGGAAUGCUGACGACUCCACACUGCAAGUAUCAGGCAACAGAGAGAAAGGAGAGCGAACAAACUGGGACACUCAACCUUCUAAGAAUGCUCGCGAUGUUAUUGAAUAGAGAAGCCAGAGGUUCACGAAACAUGUAGCUUGAUACUAUGUCUUCUCCUCGGUCGGUUUCUUUCCCGAAAGCUUAUCAUGUAACCAAUCCCACGGCUGUAAAAUACCAGAAGCGAAAUAUAAGAGAACUUUAAACGGCAAAAAGCAAGCGUUACGAACCUGAAUAAGCCAGAUUCCAGUCAUAACAGUGGUAGCGCUCCAUUGCACGGCAGACUUAUACUCUUCACCCCUUGCCUUGGCUGUUGGACUAAGCCAUUGAAGCGGAUUCAUGCGGAGGAAUUUGGCGGGUUUUUGAGACAUCUCCAACGCUGUAAAACAAGCACGAAACCAGGCAAGCACAAGCGUCGGAAGAAAACCAAGAGGCUUUUCACAGGCGCCACCCUUCGCUUACGUGGCAGGAGAAAAACUGCGUAUCAAAACUAAACAGGAAAAUAAAAACUCAGUCCCAUGUUAUUCAAGAAAAAAAAUUGAAAACGAAUGCUUAUGGACGAGUUUUGUGGGUAGAUGAUAGAGUCUUAAGAUCCAGCGGCUUGUCCCUCAGCAGGUUGCCUGGAAAAUUUCUCCUUCAACCAGUCAUACGGCUGCGAAUGCGAGAAGCCAAGUUAGCGAGAAGUAUUGAAACCAAAAACUCAAUCACGAAAGCAUGCAAUGACUCUUUGAUCAUCAACAACUUAAGAAAAAUAAGAGCAGACAAAAAAGAUAAUGUAAAGAUAAAACCACAAGAAUUCGCAAUCUCGAAAGCAUGCAAUGCAGUAAGACCAUUCUCUGAUCAUCAAACAGCUUUAAGAAAAAUAACCAAGAAGCGAGUAGAAAAAGAAAAUGUAGAGACACAACUACAAUGCGAAACAAAUGCUCCAAGAAUGCGCAAUCACGAAAGCAUGCAAUGCAGCACAAGAGGUAAGCAUUCUUUGACCAUCAAGCAACUUAAGAGAAACAACGAGCACAAAAAAGAAAGAGAGAAAUGUAAAGAACGUACCUGGAUCAGCCAAAAGCCAGUGACAAGGAAAGUAGUCCCCCAGCUCAUUACCGCUGCGAGCUCCGUUCUACUCAUCUUCGCCGUUGGGGACAGCACAGCCGAAACCCGUGGCAUCGUCGCAAUGCUCCUCGCGAAAACCCUGGAAAACGCUCGAGCGUCUCAGACAAAUCCUUCCUCUCAUCCGAUCUCGUCCAGAUCGUCCGCGAAGAAUCAAGAGAACGCACCUCUUCUCAACGGCGCCGGCGCCCUCGCCUCCCGAGCACAAAGGGCAAAAUAAAAAUAUGCCCUCGAGAUAUUCCCUCCAGGUCAUGUUUAUCUAGCUACGUCACCAGUACACCUCAGCUUACUUUC